rnacentral:rRNA from 1 species
GUUACCUGGUUGAUUCUUGCCAGUAGGUCAUAUGCUUGUCUCAAAGAUUAAGCCAUGCAUGUCUAAGUAUAAGCAUACCGCGAAACUGCGAAUGGCUCAUUAUAUAAGUUAUCGUUUAUUUGAUAGCACAUUACUACAUGGAUAACUGUGGUAAUUCUAGAGCUAAUACAUGCUAAAACUCCCGACUUCGGAAGGGAUGUAUUUAUUAGAUUAAAGCCAACGCCCUUCGGGGCUUCCUGGUGAUUCAUAAUAACUUUUCGAAUCGCAUGGCCUUGCGCCGGCGAUGGUUCAUUCAAAUUUCUUCCCUAUCAACUUUCGAUGCGAAGGUAUUGUCUUCGCAUGGUUGCAACGGGUAACGGAGGGUUAGGGCUCGAC